rnacentral:rRNA from 1 species
UACGAAGGGGGCUAGCGUUGUUCGGAAUUACUGGGCGUAAAGGGCGCGCAGGCGGCCCUCCAAGUCAGGCGUGAAAGCCCCGGGCUCAACCCGGGAACAGCGCUUGAUACGUGCGGGCUUGAGUUCGGAAGAGGGUCGUGGAAUUCCCAGUGUAGAGGUGAAAUUCGUAGAUAUUGGGAAGAACACCGGUGGCGAAGGCGGCGACCUGGUCCGAUACUGACGCUGAGGCGCGAAAGCGUGGGGAGCAAACAGG